rnacentral:rRNA from 1 species
CACCAGCCCCUCGAGUGGUGGGGAUGAUUAUUUGGCCUAAAGCGUCCGUAGCCGGCCGGGUAAGUUUCCCGUUAAAUCCAGCGUCUCAAGCGUUGGACUGCGGGAAAUACUGCCUGGCUAGAGAGUGGGAGAGGUGUACGGUAUUCUGGGGGUAGGGCGAAAUCCUUUGAUCCCCGGAGGACCACCAGUGGCGAAGGCUGUACACUAGAACACGUCUGACGGUCAGGGGACGAAAGCUGGGGUAGCGAACCGGAUUAGAUACCCGGGUAGUCCCAGCCGUAAACGAUGCAUGCUAGGUGUUGGGUUGGCCACGAGCCACCCCAGUGCCGCAGGGAAGCCGUUAAGCAUGCCGCCUGGGAAGUACGAUCGCAAGAUUGAAACUUAAAGGAAUUGGCGGGGGAGCACCACCAGGCGUGAAGCCUGCGGUUU